UACGGGGGGGGCAAGCGUUGUUCGGAAUUACUGGGCGUAAAGAGCUCGUAGGCGGUUUGUCGCGUCUGCUGUGAAAACCCGAGGCUCAACCUCGGGCCUGCAGUGGGUACGGGCAGACUAGAGUGCGGUAGGGGAGAUUGGAAUUCCUGGUGUAGCGGUGGAAUGCGCAGAUAUCAGGAGGAACACCAAUGGCGAAGGCAGAUCUCUGGGCCGUAACUGACGCUGAGGAGCGAAAGCAUGGGGAGCGAACAGG
rnacentral:rRNA from 1 species